rnacentral:rRNA from 1 species
AAUUACACGACGCACGUCCGCCAGAAAAUUACGAGCACCCCUUCAGCCUAAAACUCAAAAGACUUGACGGUGCCCCAAUCUCCCUAGAGGAGCCUGUUCCAUAAUCGAUAAUCCCCGAUCAACCCAACCACCCCUAGCCCCCCCCCAGCCUAUAUACCGCCGUCACCAGCUUACCCCUUAAAAGCCCACACAGUAAGCAAAAUAGUACUUUACUAAUACGUCAGGUCAAGGUGUAGCUCAUGCGGUGGUGUCAAUGGGCUACAUUAUCUGCCUCAGAUACAACGAACUUUUUCUUGAAACACUAAUAUAAAGUCGGAUUUAGCAGUAAAUUCUGCAAGAGAGCACAAUUUAACGCCUGCUCUGGGGCA